CUCCUUCUGAUCUGAGUUCAGCUCACAGCCAGCAAUGCAAGGUGUGCACUGUUCUGUCUUGCCUUGCUUUGUAUUUGGAGCAAGGAUUUCUCCUCAGUCAACCUCACGUGAAUGGAAGGAGAAAUAGAACUGCCAUGAAAGUGGUCAGAGGGAAGAAAAGUGGACUUACUGAGGAUGAGAGGAGUUAAUUUGGAGAAGAACCAUGGAACAGACAGAAACAAGAAGUCUGGAAUAAUGAAGACUGACAUUGAAUCUUGCAUCCACUAGCACAGGUGUAACCACCUGUGCCACUGGCUAAGGCAGAGGUCCUGCAGGAAAAAUAUAAGCUAUGCGUGUAAUUACAGAUCAUAAGAGAAUGCAUGCACCAAGACCAGACAGCCAAUUUUAACUCUGUCCUUCUCUAUCUUACACAUUCCUAACUAGCAGCUGACAUUUUUUCACUAACAUAACUUAAAUUGAAAAUUAUGGAAUAAAUUUAUGUAUAUAUAGUAACA
ensembl:lncRNA